AUUAUAUUCAUGUAUGGUAUACAUGAUUUCCCUACAUUAAGAGGAGUUAGGAUUGGAUUACAAGUCCUACUAGAAUUGGAUUACAAGUCCUACACAAUGUCCUACAUAUAUACGAAUUGAUACUCUAAUAAGAUAGAAAUCUACAAGAACUGGGAUACUCUAAUACUCUUCUUGCAAACAGAAGGUGGCUCCUUCACCUUAAGUUUGUCGUGUAAGAACUAAAAUCAUGCUGAAGCCAAAGGUUUCGUCAAGACAUCUGCUAAUUGGUCUUUUAUGGAUAUAAACCAGGCAUGAAGAUCUUUUCUGUCAAGGGCCUAGCCAUGAUAUGUAUCUCAAGUCUCAUGUGGACCAGAGAUCACCCCUGUACCUAAACAAACCAAAUACAACAUCCCUCAAUAUCGGAUGAAUUCCUAAUAUAUAACAAGAUAGCCUGCAAUAAACUUAAGGAAAGUCAAAACAUGUCUAUAACUGAAGACCGAUGAUAGUCCAAACAAUCGAGAAACAUCACCCAAUAUCCACAAUAAUCGAAAUAAAGCCUUCUAAAUAAAGAACUAAAGCCAGUAUUAGUCGGGAUAUGUCCUUGAAUCUGACAGAUAACAAUGAGAAUGAAAAUAAUAAUGUAAGUAACUAUGAACUCAAAUCUGAGAAUGAAAGUGUGAAAUGCCUAAGCCUUCUAGGGAAUGAAGCUCACCGCUUAACCAUAACAUAAUGAACCAACGAGCUGAGCUAACCGACCUAACUCUAUGCAAGAAAAGUAGAAGUAGCUCUGCUGCCUGCAUCACAUAGGGAUACAAUGUCCAGAGAUGUUUAGUGGGGUGAACACUAGCAUGUAACUCGGGGAUAAGGAUAACAUAAUUCUGUGUUCAAUAGUUCAAAAUCAUUCAAAACCAAUGCAUAUAAUCAAAUGCAUAUACAUAUAUGUAUAUCUCAUGCCGGGAUAGGAAACAUGAUUUAAAAUGCACUUUAAAACCUUAACAUGGAUGUGUAGCUAAAUCGUCAUAGUAUAAUAGUACCCACUGGCUAUAUGGGCCCCAAAUAUCACCCCCUGGCCAGGACCCAGGGCGUGUAGCCGCACUCAAAAAUCUUAACCCUUAUUUCAAAACCAACAUCAAUAGCUCAUGAACGAUACUUUAAAACAUAUGAUUUUAGCAUAUUUACAACAAGGGAAGAGUAACAUGCCUGAAACACCAAGCUUCAUGGAAAGAAUUUAAUCCUUGAGCCCUCGGAUGCCCUACUUCUUGAAAACCCUAAGUAUGGAUGAUUGAGAGAACUUGAGAGAGAUUUGGAAGCGUUUGAGUAUGUUAAGGAUGAAGUAUAACCCCCUUAAGUUCUUUAUGCACAUGGGGUUUUAAUUGGUAAAGGAGGAUUCAAAUUGCCUUUAAAAUAAAAGCUGAAAUUUAGUCGUUAGUGACUACGGGUCACUAUACGACUCGUAAGGAUAAAUUAUAACUCAUCACAAGAAAUAGUAGUCAAGACAGAACCACCAAGGCCCCAUACUGAUCUGCUACGAUUCAUACCACUAACUCGUAACCACACUUAACGACUUGUAACCAUUUCUCGCACUAAAGACGUCAACAAAUUUGGGAUGACACACUGGACACCCUACGAUUAGACAUAACGACUCGUGGCCUCAAGUCCUAAUAAAGACAGUAUCUUGGGCCAAACUUUCUGGACACCUUACGACUUGGUCUUUAUGACCCAUAAAAAGUCUUGAAGACUAGUUGAGAGCCACUCGUACUUAGUGCAAAUUACUGAACCACUUGUUCGGAUUAUGUCACGACUUAGUACCAAUGACCUGUUAUGAAUCCCUACGACUCAUCAGGGGAUUUGUAGUCAGGACAGUAAGGAUAAAAUUUUAUAAAUUUUCAAGGACCAACAAGCUCGGUGCAUUACAUACUCCCACUUUGGAUCAUUCAUCCUCGAAUGACAGGACAAGGCAUUUAUUAGCAUGAUUUGACUCCACAUACCUUUAUUCUUACCUUUAACAAAGAUAAAAAUCAAAGAUACUAAGGAAAUCACCAUUUUCUUUAACAAAGUUACAAAACAAAGAUGUUUAGGAAUACACAUAACUAAAGCACGAUUAUCCAAAAUGGGAAAAAAGAAUGGAUACUUGGACUUUAUGUCCUCCUCGGAUUCCCAAGUAGCUUCCUCAACCUUUUGGUUUCUCCAAAGAACCUUUACCAAAGCCACGUCCUUUGUCUGUAACUGACGGACUUGCCGAUUUAAAAUCUCAAUGGGACCUCCUUGUAAGAUAAGGAAUCCAAAAUACCCACUUUUUCCAAAGGAACAACCAUCGAAGGAUCACCCAUGCCCUUUCUCAACAUCGAAACAUAAAACACAGGAUGAAUGGAGCUCAAGCUGGAAGGCUACUCAAAUUCAUAUGAAACAUUAGCAACCUUAUUCAGUACCAAGUGCAGACUAACAUAGCGGGGAUUGAAAUUCCCAUUCUUACCAAAAUGCUUCACUCCCUUCAUGGGAAACACCUUUAAGAACACGCAAUCACUAACACUGGACUCUAACUCCCUUCACUUCAGAUCCGCGUAGGACUUUUAGCGAAUUUGGACGGUCUUAAGUUUAUCUUGAAUCACCUUCACCUUCUCUAUGGCUUGGUGAACCAAAUUAGGGCUAAACAACUUAUUCUCACCAACCUCAAAUCACCCAAUAAGAGAUCUACGCCUCCUACCAUAUAAGGCCUCCAGUGGAGCCAUACCAAUGCUAGAGUGAAGUUUUGUUGUAGGAAAAUUAUAUGAGGGGCAAGUGGUAUACCCAACUACCACCAAAAUAAAAAAAUACUAGCCCAAAGCAUAUCUUUCGAGGCCUGUAUUAUCCUUUCCGCUUGCCCAUUUAUCUGUGGGCGGAAAGGGUUACUAAUGGUCAUUUUAGUCGCCAAACCUCUCUGGAACAACCUCCAAAAGUGAGAUGAGAACUGGGUACCCUGAUUAGAUAUAAUGGAGACUGGAGUACCAUGCAACUUCACUAUCUUCUCGAUGAAUAACUUGGCAUAAUCCUUUAAAGAGAAAUUAGUCCUUAUGGGCAGGAAGUGAAUAGACUUAGUCAUCCUUUCCAUAAUGACCCAAAUUGAAUAAACUACUAGCGAGACCGAAAAAGACCGGUAAUAAAAUACAUAUUAAUUAUUUCCUAUUUCGACACCGACAGUUUAGUUUAUUGAGUCAACCCACCGGGCCUCAAGUGCUCCACCUUCACUUGCUGAUACACAAUGCACUUAGCCAUAAAAUUGGCCAUAUCCUUCUUUAAAUUAUUCCACCAAUAGAUCUCCUUAAGAUCAUGAUACAUCUUUAUCGACCCAUGAUUAUCAGUAUAACAUGACUCAUGAGCUUCGAUCAAAAUUCUUCUCCACAACCUAUCAACAUCAAGAACACAUGAUCUGCUUGGUAUAUCAAGAUACCUUCACCACCAAUCUCAUAAACCAUCACAUUCUUCCUACCUACAUCAUUCUUAAUAUGCAUCAAUAUAGGAUCCAAUACUUAGUUCUCCUUUACUUCAGCACCAAGAAAUGACCUUGCCGCCUUUUGAACAAUAACACCAUCAUUCUCAGAAUCUAAGAGACGAACUCCUAGAUUAGCCAAAUGGUGAAUAUCAUUCACCAAAUCUAGCUUAUCCUUAUCCAUAUAAGACAAUAUUCCCAUGGAUAACCUGUUAAGAGCAUCAACAACUAUGUUAGUUUUACCUGGAUGAUAGUUGAGACUCAUGUCAUAGUUCUUUAGCAACUCAAGCCACCUCAUUUUCCUGAGAUUUAGAUCUUUCUUAGUGAAUACGUAUUUAGGCUUUUAUGAUCAGAACAAAUAUCAAUAUGGACCCCAUACAAAUAAUGCCGCUAGAUCUUUAGUACAAAUAAUACAACUAACAAUUCCAAAUCAUGGGUCGGAUAAUUCUUCUCAUGAAAUUUUAAUUGUCUAGAAGCAUAUGCAACCACCUUUCCAUAUUGGAUUAACACACAAUCCAGGUCUACCUAGGAUACAUUACAAUAGACAACAAAACCAUCAAUUUCCUCAGGCAGAGUCAAGACUGGAGCCGAAGUCAACUUAUUCUUCAACUUCUUAAAACUACCCUCACAAGCAUAAGAGCAUAAGAAUUUCACCUUCUUCUGAGUCAACUUAGUCAAUGGGGUAGCAAUAUAAGAGAAGCUCUCCGUAAAUCUUCUAUAAUAACCGACUAAAUCUAAGAAACUUUGAAUGUUGGUUGGAGUUAUGGGUAUAGGCCACUUCUUAACCAUGUUAACCUUCUGUGGAUCCAAUAUGAUCCCUUCACUAGAAACAACUGUCCUAGAUAAGUCAUAAAAUUCAACUAGAACUCACACUUAGAAAACUUUGCAUACAACUAUUGCUCUUUCAAGGUUUGUAACACAAGGCAGAGGUAAUCGGCAUGAUCCACCUCGCUAUUAGAAUAUACUAAAAUAUCAUUGAUAAAUAUAAUCAUGAACAAAUCCAAGAUUGAUAGAAAAUCCAAUUCCUAAGAUCUAUGAAUGCUUUCUGGGCAUUGGUCAAAUCAAAAGACAUCACCAAAAACUCAAAAUGACUAUACUGGGUUUGAAGGUUAUCUUAGAGAUAUUCGUCUCCCUAAUCAUUAACUGAUGGUACCCAGACAGAAGAUCAAUCUUAGAAAAAACUUAGCACCCUGAAUCUGAUCGAACUGAUCAUCAAUCAUUAAAAGUGGAUACUUAUUCUUCACGGUCACCUUAUUCAAUUUGCGAUAAUCAUUACUUAUUCAAAGAGAACUAUCUUUCUUAACUAUGAAAAGCAUGGGAUUAUCUCGCAGGGACACACUAGGGUAUAACUCAAGGCACCUUCUUUGAUAAAGAUUUAGAUCUUUCUGCAUAAAUCUGUACUGUAAAAUCUUAUGAUCAGUGAACACCUUAACAUAAAUCCCAUAAAGAUAAUGUCUCUAAAAUUUUAAGGCAAAUACAAUAAUUGCCAACUCAAUAUCAUGGGUAGGGUAAUUCUUUUCAUGGGUUUAAGUUAUCUAGAGACAUAGGCUUUGACCUUGCCUCUCAGCAUCAAAACAUAACCAAGACCAACUCUAAAAGCAUCACAGUAAACUACAAACCCACCUGAACCAUCUAGCAAAGUCAAAACUGCAGCGACAGUGAGUCGAGUCUUCAACUCCUAAAAACUUUCUCGCAAAAAUCAGACCACUGAGAUUCAACUUUAUUCUGAGUCAAUCGAUACACGGGGGAUACAAUAGAAGAAAACCCUUCAAUAAACUAUCUGUAGUAUCCAGCUGUAACACUUUGAUUUUUGUGAACCAGAAUGCUACACGGUGCUCAUGACCCUGAGGGACCACAAGCUAACCUAUUACUAAUAUCUGAACCUGUACAUUUCAAUAUAUAUCAUAAUAAUGUAGAAAACAUGAACAUAUAGGCCAUAAGGUUCAACUGAAUAAAGAAUCUGGUAAAAUAACAUCCAUAUGGGUGAAAGAUACCCAAAAUAACUGAAACUGAAUCAAAUCUGAACUAAAUCUGAACUGUAUCUGAAAGCCUCAAAGUAUUGACUGAAUAAGGAGUUAAAGUAACAUGUCUCCAACUAACUCUGUAAACUGAAAACUAACUAAAAUAAUAAAUGAAUCGAAUUAUAUCAUCCUCGAAUGAAGAUAAAUCACUGUAGCUCUGUAUACUGGAAUGCAAAUGCUACUGCUGGUCUGGAACUCAUGUCUCUGAACCAAUGGUAUAACAUGAAAAGAAAGCACCAUAGCGCAAAUGUGUUAGUACAAUUGGAGUACUGAGUAUACGAGUGAGGUAGGCUAAAUAUAAAGGGUUUACAUGCAUGAGCAAUGCUAACUGACCGACUAAUAUGAAUGUGAGAGUUCAAACUUACAUAUAUAAUAACUGGAAAUGUAAAUAUGUAAUAGUAGAUUUGUAUGCUAAUACAUAAUUUAAUAAUUUCUAACAUGACUGAAACUAUGGUUUUGUCAACAUGGGUGACUGUGUCUAACAGUCUUGAGUCUGAUGGAACUAUUUGAGUUUCGUACUAUAACUGAAUUUGACUGUAUCUGGUAGUCCUAGUAUACUGCUAUCUGAAGAACUAUCUGAGUUCUUUUACUGACACUGAGCUUGAAACUGUGGGAGGUAGUUGUUUAACCGAUAUGCCCCAAUAAUGCAUAUAGCUAAGUUGGGGUCCAAUCUCUGCCCUGACUGGAGGGGUAUUAAUACCGCGCCACUGGUAAGGAUAAUUGUGAGUUACUCUCAUCUGGCAGGUACUCAAAUGAGAAUGGUGGGAACCCUAAACUGACAGGUCUCUACUAGAUGUGGCUUUUAGACUUCCUAAUACUCUAUUGAACCUUAGGCUCUGAUACCAAGUUUAUAACACCCUAAUUUUUCUGAAUCAGAACACUACACGGUGUUCAUAACCCUAAGGGACCACAAGCAAACCCAUAACUGAUAUCUAUACUUGUACAUUUUAACAUAUAUCAUAAUAAUGCAGAAAAUAUGAACAUAUAGGCCAUAAGGUUCAACUGAAUAAAGAAUCUGGUAAAAUAACAUCCAUAUGGGUGAAAGAUACCCAAAAUAACUGAAACUAAAUCAAAUAUAAACUAAAUCUGAACUGUAUCUGAAAGCCUCAAAGUACUGAAUGAAUAAGGAGUUGAAGGAACAGGUCUCCAACUAACUCUGUAAACUGAAAACUAACUAAAAUAAUAAAUGAAUUGAAUCAUAUCAUCCUCGAAUAGAGAGGACUCACUGCAGCUCUGUAUACUGGAAUACGAAUUCUACUAUUGGUCUGGAACUCGUGUCUCUGAACCUAUGGUGUAACAUGAAAAGAAAGCACUAUAGCGCAAAUGCGUCAGUACAACUAGAGUGUUGAGUAUACGAGUGAGGUAGGCUAAAUGAAAAGAGUUUACAUGCAUGAGCAAUGAAAACUGACCGACUAAUAUGAAUGUGAGAGUGCAAACAUACAUACAUAAUAAUUGGAAAUGUAAAUACGUAAUAGUAGAUCUGUACGCUAAUACAUGAUUUACUAAUUUCUGACAUGACUGAAACUAUGGUUCUGUCAACAUGGGUGACUGUGUCUGACAAUCCUGAGUCUGAUGGAACUAUCUGAGUUUCAUACUAUAACUGAAUUUGAUUGUAUCUGGUAGUCCUGGUAUACUGCUAUCUGAAGAACUAUCUGAGUUCUUUUACUGAGACUGAGCCUAAAACUGUGGGAGGUAGUUGUUUAACCGACAUGCCCCAAUAAUGCAUAUAGCUAAGUUGGGGUCCAAUCUCUGCCCUGACUGGAGGGGUAUCAAUACCACGCCACUGGUAAGGAUAAUUAUGAGUUACUCUCAUCUGGCAGGUACUCAAAUGAAGGAACCCUAAACUGACAGGGAACCCAUCUGAAGAGACUGAACAUGAUUUAACUGACUGUACAUGGACUGAGUAACUGACUUCCGUUUACUGACUGAAUAACACUACUAUUUGAGAUUUUGCUGAGAUAAUGAAAUUUCGGAGGUUUCUUGAGUCACAUGGCUGACUGAGUUCUAUAGAUCAUGGCUUGACUGAGAUUAUCAUGGUAACGUGACUUGGCUCUAGACACACAACUAUAUUUUUUGGGUACAAAUACCCCUAGGACUCGAUAGAAGGAUACUGACACACAUGACAUGACUUGAUCACAAGAUUUGAGUCCACAAUUCAUAAUAUCGUACAUAAGGGAUUUCAUACUAAGCAUGGUUAUCAAUAAUGUAGUGCAUGGAAAGGAUUUCAUGUCACAUGGAAGUACUUGCACAACCUUAAUAUCAUGUUCAUUGCAUAAUCAUACUAGCAACACAUACCAAUAGCAUGGAAGUUCAUGUGGAAUCAUCUUAAGAGUUGACAAGGUUUGUCAUUUAAAUACUAUGGGGUCAUGGGAACAUGAUUUUUAGCAUUCUAGGCAUUUUAACAAACACCUUGCAUGCACACUUUGGGGCAUAGGUUUUCUCAACAAUUUUAAUCAUCUUGAACCACCCAAAUAGGUUUUAACUACAAGAAUGCAUACAUCAUAGAAGUCAACUUAAAUUAAUAUCUUGAAGCUUAAACAAUGAUCAUUAACAUGAACAAUAUCACAUAACAACAAGAAAAUCAAAGUUUCUCAUUUAAGCAUGCUUCUUAAACUCUAUGAAUGAAAGGGGUCCAUAGAUGAACACUACGCAUACCUGACUCAAGAUUCUUGACGUUUUUAAACUUGAAGGGUUUGAAAUCCUUUGAUUCUUGAAGAAUAUUGGGUAUUGUUCUUGUAGAUUAAAUUUAAAGAGAAACUCUAGUUUUUGUUUGUGAAAUAAUAAUGAGCAAAAUGGCUGAAUUCGAACUUAUCUGGGUAUAUAUGUAGGUGAGUGGUAAGUGACCAAAAUACCCCUGUUAAAAUGACCUGGAAAUAAACUGAACAUGGCAUGUGACGGUCCGACUGACGGCCCGUCCGACACUUGACGGUCUGUCACUUAGCCCGUCAGAUGUGGACCACAAAUGGGGUUCACUGGAUAAGUAUUGACAGCCUGGAUAAUGGUCCAUCACAACUUUGACGGUCCGUCAACUCGUUCAUCAGUCCUUAUCCAGUACGUGGCUCAACUGCCUUGGCUGUAACAGUCAAAGUGGCGGUCCGUCAACUUGGCCGUCAUACUUGGGUGUUUUGGACAGUUUCAAGUAAAACAUCUAUAACUUUCUCGAUAGUAAGUCCUUGCAUCCUUGAGAUGAUUUCUAGCUAGGAAAAAGGCACGGAUAUUACACCAGCUAAACCUAAGAAACUCCUAAUGUCUGAUGAAGAGAUUGGUCUAGGCCAGUUUUUCACUGAUUUGGUAUUUUAAGGGUCAACUUUAAUGCCAUCGGCAAAAAUAAUAUGUCCAAGAAAAUCUACUGAUCUUAGCCAAAAUUCACACUUACUGAAUUUGGCGAACAAUUGAUGAUCGCUAAGGGUCCGUAACACAAUUAUCAGAUGGUCUGCAUGAUCACUCUCAGUAUGGAAAUAGAGAAGGAUAUUAUCAAUGAAGACUAUGAUGAACAUGUCUAAAUACUUUUUGAACACCCUAUUCAUCAAGUCCAUGAAAGUUACAUGGGCAUUCGUUAGUCCAAAAGACAUAACAAGGAAUUCAAAGUGACCAUACCGAGUUCUAAAAGCUAUUUUUAACAUGUCAUAUUCUCUGACUCUAAGCUGAUGAUAGCUGGAUCUGCGAUCUAUCUUAGAGAAAUAACUGGCAUCCUGAAGUUGGUCGAAUAAGUCAUCAAUACUAGGGAGUGGAUACUUAUUCUUGAUUGUGUCUUUGUUCAGCUGACGGUAGUCAUUGCACAUUUUGAGAGAACCAUCUUACUUACGCCUGAAUAAUACUAGAGCGCCCCAUGGAGAAACACUGGGCCUAAUGAAACCCUUAUCUAAGAGAUUUUAACUAUUGUUUCAAAUUUUCAAGAUCAGCUGGGGUUAUUUUAUAAGGUGGAAUAGAGAUACGCUAGGUAUCUGGAAGGAGAUCUAUUCUGAAGUCAAUUUUCCUUCUGGGAAAAACUCUGGGAAGAUCUUCAGGGAACAUAUCUAGAAAUUCCCUUACUACUGAAACUGACUCGAGACUUGUAGUCACAAAACUAGAGUCUUUGACUCAAAUGAUAUGGUAAACACACCCCUUAGAUAUCAUCUUUCUUGCUUUAAGAUAUGAAACAAUCUGACCCCUAAGCACUGAGGUACUACCCUUCCAUUCAAUGACUCAUUCAUUAGGAAACUGAAAAUGAAUGAAUCUAUUUCUACAAUUAACUGAGGCAUAACAUAAGUGGAGCCAAUCCAUGCUGAGAAUGACAUCGAAAUUAGUCAUUUCUAACUCUACAAGAUUAACUAAGGUGAUAUUCCAAGAUGUUGUGAUCGGGCAAUUUCUAUAUACCCAUCUGGAUAUAAUAGAUUUGCCCACUGGGGUAGACACUAAGAAAUGCUAUGCUAAUAUUUCAGGACUGACAUCAAAGUUGACGGCUAUAUAAUGAGUCACAAAAGAAAGUGAAGCUCUAGGAUCUAACAAUACGUAAACAUAAAGAUGGAAAAACUGUAACGUACCCAUAACCACAUCAGGAGAAUUUUCUUGAUCAUGCUGAGUCUGGAGUGCAUACAAUCUAUUCUAACGCUGCCCACUGGUUACACUGAAGGUCAGACCCUACUGAGUCGGGCGACCUACUGGAGCUGAUAAAAGAUUAGACUAGCCUUGUUGGCGCGAAUCCUUUUCUGUUUGAGAAAUUACUGGACAGUAUCGGACCCUGUGGCCUAGAUUUCAUAUAUAAAACAUACAUCACUACCAGCCUUACACUCACACUAGUGAUUUUUAUCAUAUUUUUGACAAAGCAGAUUAGUAUAUUGACUGUUCACACCGCCCUAGGACUUAGAGCCUGGAUCCCUAUCUCGGCUGUCUUACCUGAACAUAGGCACUGGCGCACUAGCUUAAGAUGGAGAUGGGGUUGAAAAUUUCUGAUGGAACAGAGAAUGGUUACCUCCUCUGACCUUAGAUGAGAAAUGUUAAAACUACCUGUUCUGACCCUCUUGUUCUCUCUCCCUCUCCAUACACUUUUCCUCCUUAAUAUGUUAAGCGUAAGCCUUGAGUCUAGAUAGGUUCAUAUCCUUAAUCAAUAUGGUAGUUGUACACUCUUUAACCACACUAUUAGCUACACUCGAUACAAAUUUACUCAAUCUAUACCGAUUUUCUACUACCAUAUUAGGAGCAUAUCUCGGCAACUGAGUAAAGUAAGUACUCCUUCACACUCAUACUACCUAUCUUUAAAUUGAUGAACUCUUACACCUUGGCUUCUCUCAACUCUAAUGGAUUGAACCUGGCUAAGAAAUCCAUGGAAAACUCCUCCCACUCAAUAGGCCUUGACUUCAUACCUUAGUUCUCCUUCCAUAGAUUAAAGAAGGUGUGAGAUACAUCCUAAAACUAAUAUGCAGCCAACUAUGCACUCUUACUCGAAGUGACGCCCAUGAUAUCAGUCACCUUUUGUACCAUAUCCAAAAACUCCUGCGAAUCCUCCUCAGACUUGGAUCCUAAAAAUGAAGGGGGAUUCUUUUAGGGUAAAUACUGAAUCCUAGCUGUAGCUAUAUUUGCCACUAGAUUGGUUGGGGCUAUAAAUUAUUGGUUGUUUUCAGCUACUGAAUGGGCCAGAGUCGUAAAAACAACCCUGAAUUUGGCGUAAAAGACAUGCUCAUUUAGGGGAUCUUCCUGAAUAGGCGGUAGUGCAGGCUGAUCUCCAUUCCUUCAUUCGUUGUUUCUUUUAGGAGGUAUUAUAUUUAAACCAAAUAAAGGAUGAGUUAGAAAGAGAGUUUAAAUAGAGCUCAUGAUCUUUCAUAUGACAUGAACAUAAAAAGAAGGGAAACAUUUCAUAGCCUCUUGUCCAUAAGUAUGGAGCACUUCGCACCCAUGCACAAGACUCUACUCAACACGAUAUUCAGACUCCCUAGGAAAAUUUAAAACCUUAGGCUAUGAUACCAUAUUUUUUCAUAACCCAAGGCUUCCCCCUAGUCACGACAACGGUGCUUGCGACCAUAAGUGACCACAAGCUAACCCAUGAGCUGGUACCUUUUGUGAGCACUGAAUAAAAUAGUAAUACAGUAUAUGUGCGGAAGGUAAGCUGAUAAGAUACUGUAAAACUAGAUACUGAAAUACGUAUCAUAACAUGUCUAAAAUAUCUGAUAGAAUACUAAAAAUAAACUAUCUAUCUGAAAAUAAUUGAUAACAAUGAAAUGACUGACUGCCUAACUAAUUUUUUGAAAGCCUCUAAACAUCAUGAGGAGUUAAUGAGAUAGACCCCAACUAACUCUAACUGACUAAACAUAAGAAAACAGUAGAGUAACUAAAAUAAGCAAAUCAUGUCCUUGAUGGAUGAGGACUCACCACUACUGUUGCUGAGUAAUACUGAGCUGUCUAAGAGUAGUUGAGAAACUAUGCGUCCGAACCUAUGUUAUAAGACAACAUAGAGCAAAGAAAAGUAUGCAGUCAAUACUUUGAAUGUACUGGUAUAUGAGAUGAGGACUGACUGAAAUGCAUAAGGUAACUAAGUAUAAAUGCAUAAACUUUUAAUAUCUUAGAAUGCAAUACCAAGCAUAAAUAUGUUUCUGAGAUAAUCUGUAAUCUAAAAGACUGAAAGCUGUAUAACUGGAUAAAUAAGAAUCUGUACACUUGGUCAAGCAAACCUAAAUUGAAAUACACUGAUUACUGUACUGAGACUAUUGGAGGUAUCAUAUAACUGACAUUCCCCAAUCUGAGCUAAUUGGGGUCUAACCUAUAACCCAGUUGAAAGGGUGUCAGUAUCGUGCCAUGGGUCUUAACACUGGCUGUGUGGAUCCACUAGUCUGAUGUUCCAAAGGACUAAGGAGUCAAACCUAAAGUAGCGGGUGACCCCUAAGAGAGUGUUAGUCCUAAACUGACAGGUAAUAUCUCAUAAUCCUAAGUUGGCUAUAUAGUUCUGGAACUUAGGGAUUGGUACUAAGGACCCAGUCCUAACUGGCAGGUGAUCCCUUAUCCUUAGGUUUAAUUGGUGCUAAAUCCUACUCUCAACUAACUGGCACUGGUACUGAACUGAACUAAGUUUAACUAAACAUUAUUUCUGAUAGUGCUCAUCAUGGUUAUAUCAACUGAGAAAAAUAGUAAUAUACAUGGUUUAACUGAAUCGUUACUUGUAAAUCUAAAAUCAUUAAAACACGUAUGUAUCAGGUGUUCAUAACCCAACAGUACUAGAUGAUUAUAUAAAAAAAUAUGAUAUCAAACUUGAAAUAUUGUAGUAUGCAAUCAUGGUUCAAAGACCCAAAACAUGGACAUUUCAUCAAACAUGUAAGAAUCAUAAGCUUGAACAUGUGAAUGUCUUAAACAAAGGAAACAACAUGAUUACAAGGCUAAAUUCAUAAUUUGGGGGUUUAUCCUAAAAUCAAUUCAUGACAUAAGAAUUUUAGUACUUAAAACAUGAUAUGACUAAUUCCACUUGAAACACUUGUAACCAUAUCUUGAAAUUAAAUUAAUAGGAUAUUCAUAGAUUUAUUUUAUCUUGAACAUGUAUAAACUCAUAAAUUAAACCAAAAUAUGAUUUUUGGGAUCUGUGGGUGAAAGGAACCUAUGGAUGAAAAUCCUAUAUACUUAAUAACUAAAUUCUUGAAGAUUUCUUCGAUUGGAAGCUUGAACUUUUGAUUUCCUGUGAAUGAAGCUUAAAUUUGUUCUUGGGGAAGAAAAAGGAUUUUUUUGGGAGAAAUUGGAGUGAAAGAGGCAAAUAAUCCCCUAUUGGGAGCCCCAAGUCAUGUUAAGGACGUAUUGGGGUCGAGGAAAAAUGACUCAAAUUCCCCUUUGCUUAAAGGCUAAGGGGAUCGGUAGAUCAACAAGGGGUGACGUGGGCUCUAAACUGGUGGACUAGCCCAGGCAAUGUGAGAUCUGUCCUGGUAGACUAGAUCGGGCAUCGCGGGCUCUAUACCAAUGAACAAAAUUGGGCGCUGCGUCCGUAUCCCAGUGGGGCUACUAUUUUCUUUUUCCAAACACACACCUUCGCCCAUAAAAAAAUUCCAAAACUUUCCUGAGACACACCUUUAACAACCCCAAACCUAUUUCAACUCAAAAAUCAACAUCUCGAGGUUGGGAAGACCAAAAUAAAAAUCAUCAAAGUUUAGGGGUCUUAAAAAUAACUAAGUCCUCAACACUUAGUGAAAUUUUCAAGCCUUGGACCCUUUAAGCGUGGAACUAAGAGCUAAAUCAUGCUUAGAAUAUUAUGGGGUAUUACAGAUUAUUGUCAGUUGAAUAAAAUAACCUUAAAGAAUAAAUAUCAUCUUCCUAGGAUCGAUGAUUUGUUUGAUCAUCUAUAGGGUGCGAAGUGUUUUUCUAAGAUUAAUCUUAGAUCGGGUUAUCAUCAGCUUAAGAUUAGGGAAGUAGAUAUCCUUAAGACUAUCUUUAGGAUAUGAUAUAGAUAGUAUGAAUUCCUAGUUAUGUCUUCUGGGUUGACCAAUACCCCCACGAUAUUCAUAAACUUGAUGAAUAGGGUCUUUCAUCUAUUUUUAGAUUUGUUUGUCAUAGUCUUCAUUGAUGACAUCUUGGUCUACUUUAAGAGUGAAGCAGAUCAUGUCGAACAUUCGUAUCAUGUUGCAAACUUUGAAGGAUCAACAUUUGUAUGCCAAGUUCUAUAAGUAUGAGUUUUGGUUGAAGGUUGUGACUUUCUUUGGUCAUGUUAUCUCUAGUGAAGGGAUUAUGAUAGAUCCAAAAAAGGUUGUGGCAGUUAAAAAGUGGCCUAGACUUUUAUCUCCAAUCGAUAUUUGGAGCUUUUUAGGUCUAGCCGAUUACUAUAGGAGAUUUGUGGAAUGUUUUUCAGCAAUAGCUGCCCCAUUGACUAAGUUAACCUAGAAGAAAGUAAAGUUUUUGUGGUCGGGUACGUGUGAGGGUAGUUUUGAGAAGUUAAAGAAUAAAUUAACUUUAGCCAUGGUUUUGACCUUACCCGAGGGUAAUGAUAGUUUUUUAGUGUAUUAUAAUGCUUAUCGUAUUGGGAUUGGUUUUGUAUUGAUGCAGCAUGGUAGGGUGGUGGCCAAUGUUUCUAAGCAAUUGAAAGUUUAUUAGAAGAACUGCCUUACUCAUGACUUGUAGUUAUUAUUUAUGGUAUUUGCAUUACAGAUUUGGCGUCAAUAUCUCUAUGGGGUUCAUGUUUACAUAUUUUCUAAUCAUAAGGCCUACAGUACGUGUUCUCUCAGAAGGAGUUAAAUCUCAAGCAAAUACGAUGGCUUGAGUUGGUAAAGGACUACGAUAUGAGUCUUUACUACCACCUAGGUAAAGCUAAUAUUAUUGCUGAUGCUCUUAACAGGUUAUCCAUGGGGAUUUUGGCCCAUGUUGAUGAGGAUAAACAGGAAUUAAUGAAAGACAUCACUGAUUGGCUAGUCUUGGAGUUCAUCUCAUGAACUCAGAGUAUGUUGGCGUGUUUAUGCAUCUAGUGUCACAAUCGUCUCUUGUGAUUGAGAUAAAGGAAAAUCAAAUGUUGGAUCCCGACUUGAUGAAGGUUAAGGGUAAUGUGGGUCAACAAAAGGUUGUUCACUUUGUGGUUGGUGGUGAUGGUAUCUUGAGGUAUUGAGGUAGGGUAUGUUUUCCCGAUAUUGUGGAUUAAGGGAAAGGAUUAUGGCCGAGGCUCAUGGAUCUUGGUAUACUAUUCAUCUCAGUUCUACAAAGAUGUAUCAUGAUCUUAGGGAGUUCAAUUGAUUGAAUAAUAUGAAAUGGGAUGUGGCUAGCUAUGUGUCUAAGUUAUAGUAUGUCAACAAAUAAAAGUUGAGCACUUGAGACUUAAUGGUUUAUACUAAGAGAUAGAGUUGCUCGAAUGGUAGUAAGAAGUGAUUAAUAUAGAUUUCAUCAUUGGUCUUCCCCAGUAUCGAUAUCAAUGUGAUUCUAUUUGGGUUAUUAUGGAUAGAAUGACCAAGUCCGCUCAGUUUUCAUCUGUGAGGACUUGUUUAUUAUGGAUAGAAUAAUCAAGUCCGCUCAUUUCUUGCCGGUAAGUACUAGUUUUUCGCAGAAAAUUAUGCUAAGUUGUAUCUUGUGAAGAUUUUAAAGUUGCAUGGUGCUCAAGUUUCUAUCAUUUUGGAUCGUGGUACUCUGUUCUCAUUGUAUUUUCGAAAGUGGUUUCAGAAUGGUUUGGUAACUAAGGUGUGCCUUAGUACUGCUAUCCACCCAAAAUGAAUGGACAAGCGAAGAAAACUAUCCAACAUUAAAAGAUAUGUUGCGUGCUUGCUUUUGUGUUUGAUUAUGGUAGUAGUUGGUAUUACCAUUUGCCUUUAAUUAAGUUUACUUAUAAUAAUAGUUACCACUUUAGCAUUGGUAUGGUUCCUUUCGAGGCGUUGUAUGGUAGGAGAUGUCAUUAUCCUAUUGGGUGGUAUAAAGUUGGUGAGGGUAAGUUAUUUGGCCCUGAUUUGAUUCACCAAGCCUUAGAGAAGGUGAAGGUGAUUUGUGAUAGGUUGAAAACCACUCAAAGUUGCCAAAAUUCCUAUACGGAUGUGAGGCGUAGGGAUUUGGAGUUUGAUAUUGGUGAUUAGGUAUUCUUGAAAGAAUCUCCCAUGAAAGGAGUAAUGAGAUUUGGUAAGAAAGAAAAGCUUAGUCCUUAUUAUGUGGGACCAUAUUUGAUUGUAAAGCGGGUUAGUAAUGUUGCCUACGAGUUGGAGUUGUCCUCUAGUUUGAGCUUCACCCAUCCAGUAUUCCAUGUGUCCACGUUGUGGAAAUAUAUAGGUGAUCCUUCAUUUGUCAUUCCCUUGAAGUAUGUUGGUGUUUCAGACUCUUUGUCAUAUGAGGAGGUCCUGGUGAGGAUCUUAGAUCAUCAAGUUUGGCAGUUGCGAACAAAAGAGAUGGCUUUGGUAUAGGUUUCAUGGAGUAACAAAAAGUCUAAGGAAGCUACUUGAGAGGCGGAAGAGGACAUAAAGUCCAAGUAUCGCAUUUGUUUUCCGUUCUGAAAACUCGUGCUUGAGGUAUGCGUUAAUCCUCUUGACUUGAUUUGUGUAUUUGAUAUGCAAUGGGUUUAAAUCCCUAAACUUUGAAUUGAGCAAGUGUUUUGAUAGACAAUGGGUUUGAGUCCCAAAGUCAAUUGAAUGAAUGGUUGAUUGAUAAUGAUUAUGGCAUAUGUCCUAUCCUUGUUGUAUGUCUUUAUGUUCCAAUUUGGUUAAAGGUUAGUUUGAUGUGUAAUAGUGUGUUAAAUCAUUCUUGUGCUUGCCUUACUCGUUAUUCGAGGACGAAUGAUCCAAGUAGGGAAGAAUUAAAAAACCUAGGCUUUCCACCCUUAGAAGAAUUUCCUUAGUUGAAGUUUCUCGGCAGGGUACGAGUCAUAUUUACUAGUCGUACCCUAGAAUAUAACCUAAGGAUCUCUAUCUCGUAUGUUAAUUAGUGUUUGUUAGGUAUAGUCUGUCUAAGGUACGAUUUAUCCUUCUCCCAAGUCGUAUGUUGCCUAUUCGUAUGAUGAUUGAGGUCUUGGCUAAAGCAUUCUGACUUGGGUACUAGUUGUAGGAUACCACUCGUACCCUAGGGUACGAGUUAUGCAUGUGGAGUCAUAUCUUGUACAGUUUAGGGUUCCAUGGUGAGGCCUAGUGUAUGAGUUAUGGUACAACACAUACCCUAGGGUAUGGUUUGGUGUAGGAGUCGUACCCUCCUGGGAGUUCAUUUUAAGCUUUUAAGCUGAGGAUAUUUUAGACUUUUCCCACCUCUAAACCCUUAUAAAACAUGACUUAUAACCUUAUUUUUCCCUUUAUUAUUCAUAUAUACAAGUUAAAAAAAUAUUCCAAAAAUACUCCAAAAUCCCCUCUAAACUUCUCUAACAAGAUUGGAGGUAAGGGUUUCAAGAGUGUUCAUCUAAAGGCUAAGGGGGGCAAGAAUAUCUCUGUGAAUCAUCUUGUAUAAGGCAUGCGACUCUUCCCUUAGUAUCAUUUCUCUAAUAUCGUGUUAUAGUAUCAUUUCUCUAAUAUCGUGUUAUUUAAACAUUGUUUAUGAAUCUUUAAUGGUGGUUUUCAAAACAAAUGUUGAGGGUUUUUAAGUAUAGUGAUGGGUAAUGUUUACUUUUCUUAAACUUGUGUUUAUAUUUUUUUUUGGAGAUAGUUUGCACAUGUGGGUGGUUGUUGAUUGUGCUUUAACAAAUGGGUCAUGGGUAAUCCUAAGUUUGAUGAUUUCAACUUUGAUUUUGGUCUUGGUAAGAAUGUGCCCUCAAGGUGUUUUUGAAAAUGUCUACUAGAAAUAACUAGUCACUUGUUGAUGGUGAUUUAAACUAAGGUAAUGGAUUAAUGAGUAAGGAUUAUUGUUGAAUGAAAUUUUAAAGGCCUUGUUAGGCCUUUAAUGAGUUAAUUGGUGACUUUGGUGGUUUGCUUGGUUAAAUGGGUUAAAUUCCCUAAACAUGAUAUUAAAUUGUGUUGAACCAAAGUUUGGUGUAUGAAUGCUAAUGAAGAAUGAAUGGUAUUGUAUAGGUUUUGAUGAUGACAAAUUGACUUAAAUGGUUAUUGAAACUAAUAUAUUGGUCUAUUAAAGAGAUUGAUUGAUAAAUAAUUCACGAAGACCUUGUGGUCAUGUGUGGUGUUGAAUUGUAGCCUUGAUGGCUUGAAUUGACUAAAUGGGUUAAAGUCCUUGAAUGUUGAAUUGAGUGGAUGUGAAUGUAUAGACAAAGGAUUAGAGUCCGAAUGUCAAUUAGUAAUGGAUACGAUGGCUUGUGGUUAGAGUCCACUUACGUAAUAAGAUGGCUUGUGGUUAGAGUCCACUUGUUUGAUAAGAUGGCUAGUGGUUAGAGUCCACUUGUCUAACAAAAUGGCUUGUGGUUAGAGUCCACUUGGCUAACAAGAGGCUUGUGGUUAGAGUCCACUUGCAUAAUAAGAUGGCUUGGGGUUAGAGUCCUCUUUCUUGGUAUAACCUAAGCGAGUGGAAGGUUGGAGUCCUACACUUCAUGGUUCAUGAUUGAAUGCUUUUGAAAUGCAUGCUAUGGCCUUGUUAUCUUGUGACACGAUGUAUUUGCAUAUACCUACUUGUCUAUGCAUAUGAAUGUGGUGUCUUAUGAUGGUUUGAAUUGGUAUUGAAUUAUGACACUAUAAUAUCCUUACCCUUGAGUUACAUACUAGCGCUCCAACCGCUAAUCGUCUCCGGAAACUAUGUCCCCUUGCGACAUAGGGGUCGGAGCUUCUUCUUCUCUUCCUGCACAGUGACAGGUGUUCGAGCGGUUCGUGUGUUGACAUUGAAGUGGUGAGACUCUAUCCUUCGGAAAGCAUCCAUUUCAUAGUCUCUUUAUCUAUGUUAUAGAUUUCUUUUAGACUUGGUAUUGGCUAUUGUCGGGGGCUUGUCCCGACAUAUUCUAGACAUUAGAUUGGUAGAGUCUUGUGGAUAACUGUGGACUUGGGUAGUUUGCAUGUUGUAUGUUGGUAUGAAUAAAAUGAUUAGGCAUUCUUAAGUUAUGAUUGUUAGUUUGGUUUCCGUUAUCUUAUUAUACGUUCGGAGUUAAUCCAACACUUGUGGAUUGAUGUGACGGUUAGGUUGGGUUAGCGGGGCAAUCUCCGGUCUUUGUUAGCCUUGAAAUGCCCACACAACAGGGACCGGUUUCUGAUCCUUUCAUUAAAAGGAUUUAGGAUUGGAUUAAAAGUCCUACACAUACACGAAUUGAUACUCUAAUGAGAUUGUAAUCUACAAGAACUAGGAUACUCUAAUAAAUACUACAAUUCUUUGGUUAGUUUAGAGACAUAAAAGGUUAUACUGAAACUAUAAUUGAUAAAACACAUUAUAUAUAGUGCUUUGAUCAGAAAUCAGCUUAGUCCUGUAUAUGUAACAUAAGAUACAUCUCUAUUUGGUAGAUGUACCUUCUUGGGAAUUAUAGUUUCUGUGUCUGUCCCAUUCUUAAGCAAAUGUGUAUCUGAUGCCAUAUGAUUUGUUGCACCAGUGUCCAUAAUCCAUUUAGGACUGUGUGGAGCUAUCAUCACCUUUAUAUCAUGAUCAAUAGUCAUACCUAUCAUUUGAGUAGAUGAAGUGAAUGGAAUAGUAUUGAAGUCCCAGUCAGUAACUGAAGAAUUUAAUCAUAUUGAUCUUUGCUGAUAGCGUUGGAUCAAAGUUGACUAAGCUGACUGCUCAAGCUUUGACCAUAGCCGAUGGAGUUGCUAGUUGAACACUUGUUUGAUCCUUGUCCAAAACCACUCAUUUGUGACUAUCUAUUUGCAAUAAUUUAAGCCUGUGCACCUGUUCUAGGGUCAUCCUCACUUGAGACAUUGUAGGCCGCAUUACUUCCCCCUUUCAACCUUUUUUUUUUUCUUCUGCUUAUAGUCAGCUGUAUAUCCCACAACUUUGAAAUGGUUCUUCUUAGAGUGACCCUUAAUUUUGCAUAUAACACAGAACAAAUUAUAAUUUCUCUUAAACCCCUGAUUCCCAUAGUUUUUAGAAUAUAUUGCUAUUUCAUAAUUUCCAACAUUGGCCAUGGAAUUUUCUAUCCUAGAAUACCUGUUGUAGUAGAGAUAGAUUUUUGACUAUCUCACUCAGAAUCAUUGGGUAAGCUUGAUUAAGAGAAGGUAGAGGUGAAAUAAGUAAGAUCAGAUCUUUAUCCUGAUUAUACGAUUCAUUGAGCCCUAUCAAAAAUCAAAAAAAGUUUUAACUUCUGUAAAUAUACAAAAUAGUCUUUAGAUUUUUCACAACUGUAGCCAGUAGAAGGCACAAGAGCUUCAAACACUUCCCACAAAUCUUUAAGUCUAGAAAAGUACAUAGACAUAGAGUUUAUUUCUUGAGUAUAUGUGGCUAUUUCUUUGUGAAGAUUAAAGAUCCUGGAUCCAUUAAUUUUCUGAAUCUUUCCCCCAAGUCUUGCCACACAGCCUGAGCACUUGAGGCAUACAUGAUUCCUCUUAACAAGUUCUUAGUCACAAAAUUUACUAACCAAGACGGCACAAUUGCAUUCACAUGCUCCCAAUGAUUCCAUAUAUUUUCUGGAAAUGCAUUCCUCAGGGAAAGAACCAUCCACUAACCUCAGUUUAUUAUGACCACGAAGAGUAAUUCUAAUAGAAAAAAAUCAGAUGGCAAAGUGUUUGAUACCUUUCGAUUGGAAAGAGAUUGUCUGAAUGUUGCUUACAUCUGAUGUGUGCAAGAAAAACAGAUGAUUGUAGUCAAUUCCAAGGAUAUGAGAGCUGGAUCCAUAUGGCACCAUUAAAGCUGGUUGAGUACUUGGUUCUCUAUUUUCAGCCUUUGUUAGCAGUUUUCAGUGACCAAUAACUAUUGCAAAAUCUUUGAAGAAGAAGAUUUUUUUUCAAGAAAAAGAAACAGAGAAGAAUAGAAAAUUUAGAAUCAGAAAUUGUUUUAUGCUCGCGAAUUGAUCGAGAAUUGACUAUGAACGAAAUGUAUAAAGCGUGAUAUUUAGCUUAUAGUAUGAUACCAUGUUGUAAGGUACUUAAUCCUUCAUGAUUCACGAUGAACAAGUGGAAGAUUACAAAGAUAGAGUAGAGUAAUGUAGAGAAUAUUAG
rnacentral:lncRNA from 1 species